GGUCCUACGGGGGGCAGCAGGGGGAAUAUUGCACAAUGGGGGAAACCCUGAUGCAGCAACGCCGCGUGAGUGAAGAAGUAUUUCGGUAUGUAAAGCUCUAUCAGCAGGGAAGAAGAAAGACGGUACCUGACUAAGAAGCCCCGGCUAACUACGUGCCAGCAGCCGCGGUAAUACGUAGGGGGCAAGCGUUAUCCGGAUUUACUGGGUGUAAAGGGAGCGUAGACGGCAUAGCAAGUCUGAAGUGAAAGCCCGUGGCUCAACCGCGGAACUGCUUUGGAAACUGUUAAGCUGGAGUACUGGAGAGG
rnacentral:rRNA from 1 species